CCAGUGAGUAAAUAAUUACCAUCAAAAGCAUCUAAAGCCGAGUAGAUGGAGACAAUAUAAAAACGUUAUAUCUCAAUAAUGUUCAUAACAUAAAAUUCGUUUCAAUCUAUACCAAACAAUUUCUUUUCAUCAAAAUUUUUCGGCUUAUGAAUUUCUUAAACUUGGCCCCUGCCAGAAUCAUUCUCGCGGGUACCUUCGUCAAGGUAUCCCACUGAGACCGCCAAGGCUGUUCAAUGACCCAUACCCAUAAACAUGUUUUCACAUCUGACACACAGCCGUUCCUUGGCGUUGGCUGAGUCUCACUCUCACGUGGUGGCCCGAACGUGAGGUGCACUCAAAUCAUACCUCAGGAGAUACUUCACCCAACAUCUCCCCCCGGAGGUAAGUAUAUAAUUGAGUUACCGUGCCCCUCUCAUAGGCAGUCCACGGAAACCCCCACCACUGCAGUGACCGUUUAAUAUACCACCAGACCCAUAAAAUUUUCAGUAGC
rnacentral:lncRNA from 1 species